ACUUUAAUAGUGUAAGUCAUAUAAUCGUCAUUGCUUUUCUUUUUACAGAAGAAGAUAGUGGUGAGCUGGCAAAGCCAAAGAUUGGUUUUCCGGAGACAACAGAAGAAGAGCUAGAAGAAAUUGCUUCAGAGAAUUCAGAUUGCAUCUAUCCUUCAGCUCCUGAUGUUAAGGCCUGAGCAUCAAUCAUAUGUUGCAGUUAGUAUACAACUGACUAAAACAAGCAAGCAGAGAAAAGCAUCAGCCUUCCAGAGUUACUCUCUGCUUAAGGCAGAAACAGCAGUAAAUAAUGAGGAAAAUGAAUUAGCUCCAGUGCUGGAACAACUAACUAACUUGGUGUUACCUGUAAGUGAAAACUCAAGUGUCAGAUGAAGGGAGGUGGAGUUAUCCUCUUAUAGUACAGUGGCCUGUUAUCGUUUUAAUGAAUACAUACAAGCCAACAUCCAAUUUCUAUUAUUACAAUUAGGGUUCUUGUAGCUGUUUAUGUUAUUAUGGAGAAGAAAACUAUAUUGGCUUAUUUUUCUGAUCUUAAAGCAGAAUGCCUUUUUUUUUUUUGCUUCAGUUGUAAAGAAGAGGGAAUACAUGAUAAAGUAACUGGUUUGAUUUCUCUUUCAUUGUACACUGCUUCUGAACAUCUAAUUGUUUUUAGUUGUCUAAAUAAAAUGCCUCUAAAACAAAA
rnacentral:sRNA from 1 species